rnacentral:rRNA from 1 species
AUUGAACGCUGGCGGCAGGCCUAACACAUGCAAGUCGAACGGUAACAGGAAGAAGCUUGCUUCUUUGCUGACGAGUGGCGGACGGGUGAGUAAUGUCUGGGAAACUGCCUGAUGGAGGGGGAUAACUACUGGAAACGGUAGCUAAUACCGCAUAACGUCGCAAGACCAAAGAGGGGGACCUUCGGGCCUCUUGCCAUCGGAUGUGCCCAGAUGGGAUUAGCUAGUAGGUGGGGUAACGGCUCACCUAGGCGACGAUCCCUAGCUGGUCUGAGAGGAUGACCAGCCACACUGGAACUGAGGCACGGUCCAGACUCCUACGGGAGGCAGCAGGGGGGAAUAUUGCACAAUGGGCGCAAGCCUGAUGCAGCCAUGCCGCGUGUAUGAAGAAGGCCUUCGGGUUGUAAAGUACUUUCAGCGGGGAGGAAGGGAGUAAAGUUAAUACCUUUGCUCAUUGACGUUACCCGCAGAAGAAGCACCGGCGAACUCCGU